rnacentral:rRNA from 1 species
UACGGGGGGGGGCAAGCGUUGUUCGGAAUUACUGGGCGUAAAGGGCGCGUAGGCGGCCUGUUAAGUCGAACGUGAAAUCCCCGGGCUCAACCCGGGAACUGCGUCCGAUACUGGCAGGCUUGAAUCCGGGAGAGGGAUGUGGAAUUCCAGGUGUAGCGGUGAAAUGCGUAGAGAUCGGGAAGAACAUCAGUGGCGAAGGCGGUCUGCUGGGCCGUUGC